GAUGAACGCUGGCGGCGUGCCUAAUACAUGCAAGUCGAGCGAACGGACGAGAAGCUUGCUCCUCUGACGUUAGCGGCGGACGGGUGAGUAACACGUGGAUAACCUACCUAUAAGACUGGGAUAACUUCGGGAAACCGGAGCUAAUACCGGAUAAUAUUUUGAACCGCAUGGUUCAAAAGUGAAAGACGGUUUUGCUGUCACUUAUAGAUGGAUCCGCGCUGCAUUAGCUAGUUGGUAAGGUAACGGCUUACCAAGGCAACGAUGCAUAGCCGACCUGAGAGGGUGAUCGGCCACACUGGAACUGAGACACGGUCCAGACUCCUACGGGAGGCAGCAGUAGGGAAUCUUCCGCAAUGGGCGAAAGCCUGACGGAGCAACGCCGCGUGAGUGAUGAAGGUCUUCGGAUCGUAAAACUCUGUUAUUAGGGAAGAACAUAUGUGUAAGUAACUGUGCACAUCUUGACGGUACCUAAUCAGAAAGCCACGGCUAACUACGUG
rnacentral:rRNA from 1 species